UACGUAGGGGGCUAGCGUUAUCCGGAAUUACUGGGCGUAAAGGGUGCGUAGGCGGUCUUUCAAGCCAGAAGUGAAAGGCUACGGCUCAACCGUAGUAAGCUUUUGGAACUGUAAGACUUGAGUGCAGGAGAGGAGAGUGGAAUUCCUAGUGUAGCGGUGAAAUGCGUAGAUAUUAGGAGGAACACCGGUGGCGAAGGCGGGUCUCUGGGCCGCUACUGACGCUGAGGAGCGAAAGCAUGGGGAGCGAACAGGAUUAGAUACCCCCGUAGUCCCUGAG
rnacentral:rRNA from 1 species